rnacentral:rRNA from 1 species
UUAAAUUGAAGAGUUUGAUCAUGGCUCAGAUUGAACGCUGGCGGCAGGCCUAACACAUGCAAGUCGAGCGGAAACGACUUAACUGAACCUUCGGGGAACGUUAAGGGCGUCGAGCGGCGGACGGGUGAGUAAUGCCUGGGAAUAUGCCUUAGUGUGGGGGAUAACUAUUGGAAACGAUAGCUAAUACCGCAUAAUGUCUUCGGACCAAAGAGGGGGACCUUCGGGCCUCUCGCGCUAAGAUUAGCCCAGGUGAGAUUAGCUAGUUGGUGAGGUAAUGGCUCACCAAGGCGACGAUCCCUAGCUGGUCUGAGAGGAUGAUCAGCCACACUGGAACUGAGACACGGUCCAGACUCCUACGGGAGGCAGCAGUGGGGAAUAUUGCACAAUGGGCGAAAGCCUGAUGCAGCCAUGCCGCGUGUAUGAAGAAGGCCUUCGGGUUGUAAAGUACUUUCAGUUGUGAGGAAGGUGUUGUAGUUAAUAGCUGCAGCAUUUGACGUUACCUACAGAAGAAGCACCGGCUAACUCCGUGCCAGCAGCCGCGGUAAUACGGAGGGUGCGAGCGUUAAUCGGAAUUACUGGG